GACGAACGCUGGCGGCGUGCUUAACACAUGCAAGUCGAACGGUAAGGCCCUUUUGGGGGUACACGAGUGGCGAACGGGUGAGUAACACGUGGGUGACCUGCCUCAAGCUCUGGGAUAAGCCUGGGAAACUGGGUCUAAUACCGGAUAUGACUCGCGAUCGCAUGGUUGUGGGUGGAAAGUUUUUUCGGCUUGGGAUGGGCCCGCGGCCUAUCAGCGUGUUGGUGGGGUGAUGGCCCACCAAGGCUUGGACGGGUGGCCGGGCUGGGAGGGCGUCCGGCCAGAAUGGGAAUGAUGCACGGACGAGACUCCUACGGGAGUCAGCAGUGGGGAAUGGUGCGCAGAGGGCGAAAUCCUGACGCAGCGACGCCGCGUGGGGGAUGACGGCCUUCGGGUUGUAAACCUCUUUCGACCUCGACGAGGAGUGAUUGACGGGAGGGGUGGAAGAAGCACCGGCCAACUACGUGCCAGCAGCCGCCGUAAUAC
rnacentral:rRNA from 1 species